ACAGGCGUGAGCCACUGCACCUGGCCACUAGGAUAUAUUUUGAAUUUAAAGUUGUGACAGAGACAUACUCAGGAAGGCUGGACCCAUGGAGGCUGCCCACCUUGUUCAUUGAUUUCUACUUGAUUGAUUCCUUCUUGAUUGAUUUCCAGGAUCUCUGAAACGAGAAGCCCUCCCCUUUAUAUGUUUAAUCAGAUAUUGCAAAGUGGACCUGAGAACGAGCCCGUCGGAAGCAGAUUAUGAAGGGGCCUAUGUUUUGAAUAUGCUGAACUGCUUUGGUUUGUGACUGGGGAAGAUUAAAGGCCUACAACAAAAAUGAGUGCUGGAUAUUGCUGACAAGAGAGGCUUCCUGUAAUUUCUCAGGCCAUAAGUAUUUAAGGGUCCACUGUUGACGCCAGCAUUGCAUUUCCCAUGUUCCUGCUUGACACACCUGUGCAGGUGGCAUGGUUUUAGCAGACCGAUCCAGAGAGAAGUAUCUGCAUUACAGUUAGACUGGAAGAAAAGUUAUUAAGUUGAGACUUUAAGGUAACCAGCCUUACCGACGUCACAGAAGUGUGUACGGAGAAGAGUUCCUGCCAGCUCAAGUAUUGUCUCCUCUGAUCAGAGUUCUCCUUGCACAGCUUAUUUCUGCUGUGAUAGAAAAACAGUCUGGGUGUCACAGAGAGAACUGAAGACAGGAAGUGGGAACUCUCCCUUCUGAAUACAGCACUAGAGUUAAUGUUAAGAGUGAGGGAAAAAAGCUAAGAGUAAUUCCUAUUGGUGAACUCAUUCAAUAUUCACAGACACCUAGGAGAUAGAUAUUCUUCUUCUUCUUCCCAUCUUCUAAGAAACUGAGGCCCAGAGAGGUUGAGUAAAUUACUCAAGAUUAAAUAGCACAGAUGGCAGAACAAAGAUGCAAACUCAGAAAGUCUGGCUCCAUUCUUUCUUUUCUUUUCUUUUCUUUUCUUUUCUUUUUUUUUUUUUUUUUGAGACAGGGUUUCGCUCUGUUGCCUGGCUGGAGUGCAGUGGUGCAAUCGUAGCUUAUAGCAGCCUUGACCUCCUGGGUUCAAGCGCUCCUCCCAUUUCAGCCUCCCAACUAGCUGGGACCACAGGCAUGCAUCCCCACAUCCAGUUAAUUUUUGUAUAUUUUUGGGGGUAGAGAUGGGGUUUCACCAUAUUGCACAGGCUGGUCUUGAAUUCCUGGACUCGUGAUCCACCUGCCUUGGCCUCCGAAAGUGUUGGGAUUACAGGUGUGAGCUACUGCACCCGACCCUGACUCCAUUCUUAACCACUAUAUUACAUUGAUGUAUGUGUCCUCUUCACCUGGCAAAUCUUUAUGGAAUUUGGAAUAAGGCAAGGAUGUACUGCAAUAGGAUGUCGUAUCUGGACUUUUUUAAAAAAGUGUCUUUGAUUAUAAGACAAAUUCCAUAGCAUAAGAACUCAGAAACCACAAUGUAACAAAUCUCUGAUGACUAUUUGCAAAUUAUUUUUCCAGUGUCCUAAAGAAUACGGCCCUGCCCUGAGAGAGUAAAAUCACCUGCCACAGUGGUCCUUUGCACUAGGACUUCCCCCUCAUUCUCUCGCCUUUAGGGAUGGGAUAGCUGAGAAGAAGGGCCAAGCGGAUUACUUGGGAACGUGCCACAUUGAUGGGAAUUCAGGUGGUCUUGCUAGACUUCUACUGGGCACUGCUUUCUUUAUAAUGCUAAGUGUAUAUAAUCUGUUUUAUAUGCUUUGAGAAUGCACUGUAAUUGGUACACUCUGAUAAUCAAAGCAAACUUAGUCACAUAUAUUAGACACCACAGAGAAGUGUGCAGUGGAGUGAAACUGCAAUUUAUAUUGCCGUGUUACACUAGUUUCAGCUCCAGUUUUUAUUCUAUGCGUGAAAUGUAGGAUAAGAUUGCUCCUGUUGCAGCUUUUAGAGUUACUUCUUUGACCAUGUUUGGUUUGGCAGUUAAGAAAAAAAUCAACAGCAGGAUUACAUUUCAAUGGCACAACAUCUAAUCCUCAGGCAAAUGAUUUGUCCACGCUUAAUAUAAAGUACUUAGGAUGUAUUGUUUGAUGUGAACACUAGUUCUAAUAAAAUGGUGCCUGAGGUACAGUUCUUUAACUUGUAAUACCCUUAUUUGUGUUGGCCUGUA
rnacentral:lncRNA from 1 species